AUAUAUAAUACGAUUAAGGAAUCCUGCGCUCUCCUUAAUCCGGGGUCCUACGUGGCCUAUCUAAGAAUUCAAGAUUUAAAAUCCCUGCAAUUCUAGAGCUUCUGGCAUAAUAUUAGUCAUCCUAUGUGGCAAAAUAUAUCCUACAUGGCAUAUCUUACUUUAAUUCUUAAAACACAAAAUUAAGUAUCUCUCCUCCCCAAAUUCAAUUCCCCUCAACCACCCCGUCUCCACACUACUCUCCCCUCCCCCGUCUGAAUCAGCGCCGCCCCUCCUUCCUCCGCCGUGAAUCCCUCCCCUUCGUUUAUCUAUUAUUUCGGCAGCUCCACACCAGCCUCUCCCCUCUCCCGCGGCGAUUACUCCGGCCCCAACUCGGCACCGUGGCCCCUCCUUCCUGUUUCCGCGUAGCAAUUUCUCCCUCUCUUCCGCCGCGAUUCGCAUAACCGCCGCUGCCGCAAUCGCCAGAGAUCUACUCCGAUCUGCCACCGCGGCCCCUUCUUCCUGUCUCCGCGUAGCAAUUUCUCCCUCUCUUCCGUCGCGAUUCGCGUCACCGCCGCUGCCGCAAUCGCCAGAGAUCUGCUCCGAUCUGCCUUCCACUCCACCAAUUUCUUCAUUCUGCCUCCCGUUGCGAUUCGCUUCGCCGCGCCGGCCACCGCCGAGAUCGACACAUUUCCUUCCUCCGGCGAUUCGCCCCGUCGGCCCCAGCCCGUCACCAAGCCACGACCAUGAUCAUACUCCCUAAGUCCUAUUUAUGAGGCUGGCGCCAGAGUCUAUCCCCAUUGGCACAGGGAAAUGUGAAUCAGAGGAUGUUUUUUAUUUAGAAGCUUUUGUUUGAUUUUUUUUUCCUUAUUGUAACACAUAGAAAUAUUGUAAUAGAUCUGAUAUUAUCUAUCAUGCUAUAUUUUCAAUUGAUUAGAAUUUUAUAAUAGUUUUUUACUGAUA